rnacentral:rRNA from 1 species
CCUACGGGUGGCUGCAGUGGGGAAUAUUGGGCAAUGGAGGCAACUCUGAUCCAGCAACGCCGCGUGAAUGAUGAAGGUCUUCGGUGUGUAAAGUUCUGUGAUGGGGGAUGAACACAAUGACGGUACACCAAUAGCAAGCCACUGCUAACUACGUGCCAGCAGCCGUGGUAAUCCGUAGGUGGCAAGCGUUAUCCGGAAUGACUGGGCGUAAAGGGUGCGUAGGUGGUUUGGCAAGUUAGUAGCGAAACACCAAGGCUCAACCAUGGAACUAUUACUAAAACUGUUGGACUUGAGUGCAGGAGGGGCAACCGGAAUUCCUAGUGUAGCGGUGGAAUGCGUAGAUAUUAGGAGGAACACCAGUGGCGAAGGCGGGUUGCUAGACUGUAACUGACGCUGAGGCACGAAGGCGUGGGGAGCAAACAGGAUUAGAUACCCGUGUAGUC